UUUGUAAUAGUUUAUAGGCGCUCCGUAUUGAGAAAACGCCUGAGGGUUCUCCUCUCCACACUUGGAAAUCGUCAUGCUCCACUUCGGCAAGAGGAAUCUGCAAAAUCUUUUGAGCAGUUUCCAAUUGAAAGGUACUGAACACUAAGUCAUUAUUCCAUGUUCUGGUUGAGUGAUCAAUUAGGUCCGAAACUAACUCCAAUUCAUUGUUCCCUGUUCUGAUUUGCCUACCUACUGCAUCACAUCCUGGAAUCCAUCGAUCGUUCCAUAUAGAGAUCCCAGUCCCUCUGCCAACUCUCCAACAAAGCCCAUAUUGGAGAAGGCCCUUUGCUGCCCAAAUGUUCCUCCCGGUAAAAGAAGGUAAAUUCCCUAGCUGUGCCUUGAGAAAAUCUGAUUGUGGAAAAUAUUUUGCUUUAAGAACCCUAGCAACUAAAGAAUCUGGACAACUAAAAAUACGCCAUCCUUGUUUAGCUAAUAACAAAAUAUUAAAUUGGCAAAGAUUUCGAAACCCCAAUCCUCCACAAUUUUUUAGAACGCACAAUUUUUCCAAGCGCACCAGUGCAAUCUUUUUUUCCCACGUCCCUCCUGCCACCAGAAUUUAGCGAUAAUACCCUCCAUUUCUACACAGAAUGACUUUGGUAAUAAAAAACCGGCCAUUGAAUACGUCGGUAUAACUUGCAAAACGGCCUUAAUGAAAACUUCUUUACCCCCUUGCGACAGAUAUCUAAUACUCCAGUUAUCAAUAUGCUGUUUCAAUCGAUCUUUCAAAGCUUGAAAAGAUGCCUUCUUCUUUCUACCUACCAAACUAGGCAGUCCUAAAUACCGUUCCAAAUCUGUUGAGCUAUGAACUCCAAGCUGGUGGACCACCAAUUGUCUAUCUUCUUCUGACGUAUUUUGACUAAAAAAGACAGUUGAUUUGUCAAAAUUCACACACUGUCCUGAUCUUUUUUUGUAUUUCCUUAAAAUCUCCUUUAUCACUUGAACCCCCAUUCUCUAUACUUCUCCAAACAGAAUACAGUCAUCUGCAAAUAGUAAGUGGGACACCUGUGGGCCAUAUCUACUAACCUUAACCCCUUUCAAAGUCUCAUCUCUCACUGCUAGCCUCAAUAGACUUGAUAGACCCUCUCUGCAAAUUAGGAAUAAGAACAGACUCAGUGGAUCCCCUUGUCGAAGUCCCCUAGUCGGAUAAAAUAUUUCUCCAGCAAAUCCAUUCACCACUGUUGUAUAGGAAACAAUAGACAUACACUUCAUAAUGGCCUCUAUCCUUUUUUUGCAAAACCCAUUCGAAUCAAAACCUCCCCAACAAAAUUCCAUUCCACCCUAUCAUAAGCCUUGCUCAUAUCUAGCUUGAUUGCCAUGAAGCCAUUUUUCUCUAAUCUUUUCUGUUUUAGUGAGUGAAAGAUUUCAUAUGCUAAUAGAACAUUAUCCGAUAUAUGUCUUCCUGGGACAAAAGCAUUUUGUGCUUCAUCAAUGCAUUUAUCGAUAACUCUCCUAAAUCUGUUCGAAAUAGCUUUCACCAUUAUUUUGUAAAUGACGUUGCAUAGACUAAUUGGUCGGAAGUGUGUCAUAUUAGUCGGGUUGGUGAUUAAUACGCGUUAAAUUGAUCAAACUAACCUCCAUAUCUCCAUUCAGUAGGUGAAGACAAAAAUCAACAACCUCUUUUCCAAUGAUAGGCCAACAUCUUUGGUAGAAAAAAGCUGGGAAACCAUCCUCCCCUGGAGCUUUUGUGGAUCCCAUUUGAAACAGCGUCUCACGAAUUUCCUCUCUUGUAUAUGACACUAUCAGUAUCCUAUUAUCUUCCUUUGAUAUGUAUCUAUUUAUCCCUGAUAAUAAUUAUUCCAUAUUAGUUGGAACCCUUGCUGUGAACAAAUCUUGGAAAUAAGUUCAUGCGAUACCUUCCAUGCCCACCAGAUCCUCUGCUUCCCCUCCGUUCUCGUUUUACAAUUUUUCAAUCCGAUUAUGCCCCAGCCAGAUUACUAUCAUCCCUUUCAGCUUCUAUUAAUACUGAUAAUCCUUCAAUUAAGUCUUUUUUCCUCCCUUUUCAUUUUUUCAGUAGCUGUCGAGCCCACUUUUGUAAACCAUUCCUUAACAAAUCCAUCUUCUGUAGAAUGUCUCCUUUAAUCAUACCCCAUAAUCGUUUUACUUCAUCAUCGAAUGAAUCUUCCAAAAUCCACCAAGCCUCAAAUUUAAAGCAGUUUUCUUUUCGUUGUUCAGCUUCUUUUUUUGUGACUAUUAAAAGUGGCAGCGAUCUGAAAAUGAGUGGACCAGAUGCUGAAUUUUUGCUUCGAGAAACAAAAACAUCCACGUCGUGUUUGCUACUCCUCUGUCAAGUCGUUCUUGAAUGUUUGUCUCCAGUAAAUUUCCUCUCUCCCAUGUAAACCACCUCCCAGAAAAACCCAGAUCAUACAACUGGCAGUCCUCUAACGCUUUUUGAAAUGCUUCCAUCCUGUUCUCAUCCCUUGGAAGUCCUCCCUUCUUUUCGAACCCAUACAUAAUCUCAUUAAAGUCACCAGCAACAAUCCAAGGAAUGUCAUUUGCGUGAUAGAGAUUUUUCAAAAUGGCCCGUGAUUCUUCUUUGUCUUGUGCAUACGGAGUGCCAUGAAACUCUGUAAAUUGCCAUUUAACGUUAACUUCAAUAUCCUCCAUCAGAACGUCAAUAUGCCUUUUAGAAAAACUCUGGAGAGCUAUGGAUAUAUCAUGCCUCCAUGCCAAACACAGACCUCCUCUAGUACCUUCCGCAUCCACUUGGAUACCAUGUACAAAACCACAACUCCUCCUUACUUUCUCCAUCUAAACUCUGCAUAGUUUAGUCUUCAUAAAGAAGACUACUUGGUGAUGGCUGUCGAUUCCACCAAUAUAAACCUACACCUAGUUUGCAAAAUAAACCACUAUAGGGAGUAGGGUUGAUCCCACAAAGACUGGAAUUACUGAAAAUUGUUUGUUUCUUGACCAGAUUAGUGUCUGGGCAUUAUCGUGCCCGCGACAUUUGGGAGGGAAAUAAAAUAUGAAAUCUGAAAUAAACACAAGAAAACGUAAAAAGUAAAAAGUAAAAAGUAAAAGAUGAAAUAAAAAUGAAUAACGAAAUAAUUUAAAGGAAACUAAAAAUUAGCUCAGCCUUAAGCACUGGUUUUCCCGUCUUUGACCCGUUCCUCGAAAUUAGGUGAACUCCUCUUUUUUGAUAAGUUAGUUAUAGCUACCAAGGACGCCUCGAACACCAACUCUUCCUUGUGUAAAUUAGUUAUGGAACGUCCUAUAACUAACCCUUACCGAUUGAACAACAUACGAAAUGUUCGUGAUUUAGAACUUCGGCAGCUUUGCGUUUUAGAAGAGCCUAGCUCGAACCAAUGCCCUCAAACGUUUGGGACAUUUAAAUCCGGUUACUACUUCCCUUGACGGAACCAAACAACAAUUCCCACUUGGCACGCCAAUGUGUUCACGGAAGACUAAUUAGACAAUUGAUCCUUUCGGAAUUCCAACUGUACGUCUAGCCACACUAACUCAAACGACGUCUUUUUUGACUUAGUGUUGUCUAGACUUUGUGAGUUGAUGAAGUCAUACUUUUAAUCCGGAGAAAUAAUAAAUAUCGAAAGUUGGGAGUUAAACAGCUCGGGUUCGUAUCUCAUGGGUUUUUUGACGGGGUUAACACCGACUUAAAACUGAAAGGGGUUUAGUGUGGCAUGAAUUUAAUCAUGCUUGAAGGUUAUGGAAAUGAUAGAAAUUAUAUGAAAAAGGUAGUGGAAAUGGAUAGGAAAAAUAUUUGCAAAGAGAAUUAGAUAAAUUUUGUAAAAAGAAGACAAAAUAAUCUAAUGCUCAAUUGAAUUAAGAAAAAGAAAAACAAUGUGGAUAAUGGAAUUCCAAAAUGAAAUAGAAAUGUAAAGACUAAAACCCCCUAUUUAUAUAGAUAGGGUUUACUAAAAAUAGCUUAAGAAAAUUAAUAUAAAAUCUAAAAUAAUAAUAAUUAAAAAUAAAUAAAAUUAAAAUAAACUUAAAAUAGAAUUUCCUAUUUUUAGCUUUUUACAAAGUCAAAUUUACGACUAGUCCUUGGCUUGCUCCAUCUUUUCGCUUUGGCCCAUUCCAAUAAUUUUCUUCUAAUUUGGCUCAUUUUCAGCUUGCUUUUGACCAAUUGCAUCCCUGACAAGAAUUAAAUCAUAAAAACACUUAAUUAGCAGGGUUUAGUUCAUCAAUAAACCAAAUUAAGCACAAAAAAAUGCAAUUUGACAUGUUUAUCAAAUCCCCCUACUUAGCUCAUGCUUGACCUCAAGCAUGUUGUUCUUUCAAACAUUAGAAUUAAUUCCACAAUUUAUUAAAAAUCGAGCCUCUUUUCCAUAUCCUCAAUCAAUGCAAACAACAUAGGCAAAAAGAAAUAAAUGUUCAAAAUAUACAUUUUAAUCAACAAGUGUCAUAAAAUUGAAAUAUGUCAACUAAACAAUUUUGCUAAAUUGAGAUUGAAUCCCAUAAUUUGCAUGGCAUUAUUAAUUAACUAUGCAUCAGAAAAUUAAUAGACAAGAUCAAACCUUUUUACGCGAACUAGGAUGACAACCCAAGUACCCUAUCCCAGUUACUCAGUUCAAACAGUCUUUAUUUAUUAUGUAUUAUUCUUUCUCUUUUUUUAUUUUAUUUUAUGGGGUGUUCAGCUAGCGGAAUGUUUGUAAGUUAUCGACUUGUCACUCGAACCUUUUUACGCGAGAUAAGAUGACAACCAAGCACCCUGCCCCAGUUACUCAAUUCGGUCACAUUUUCGAAACUUCAUUCAUAGCCUAAACCUUUAUUAAUUUAUUUAUGCACAAGAAAACAUAUUUUAUUCAAUCAAUCAAUUCAUGCGAAAAAAUUCUAGCUACAUAUACCAAUUUUAAAACCUAAAUGUCGACCAAUCUAUGUACUUAAACAUUUAAUUCGAAAUUUGCCCAAUUGCUUAAAUCGACUAAGUAUGAGGUUUUAAGGUUCAAAUGUUGAAUAUAUUGUCGAAAGAAUUCAUCGUAAGAUUGAACACAUGCAAAAGAGAAAGACAUGCAGCAAAAAUUAACAUAUCAAUCCAACCCCCUCAUUUAAGCUAUGCUUGUCCUCAAGCAUGUAAAAUAAAGUCAGCAGCUCAAAAUAAAUUAAAAAUGAAAAAGUUCAGAACACUUCCCGUGUAUUUUAAUGACAUCAUUGGUGUUGAGAGUCGUGACUUUGCAGGAUAUUGAGGAUGGUGGCGACUUGUGUUUUCAUUGUUUCAAGUCUAGCUUCGAUUCGAUUUAAACGGGCCUUCACAGUCAAAGGGUGUUCCUCUUGCUCUCUCGUAUUAAUGUGUGGAUGUUUACGAAAAACUCUAUUUUCCCGAGCAGCCCGUGUACCUGGAGGAACAAAAUAACAUGAAACAGGGGUGCCGGCAAGCAAUCCCAUAGAAUCCAAACAAUGUUUAUCUAGGUGGUCCAUACGAUAUGCACAUGUGAAGGUUGUGAAAUCAAUUUCAGACUCAAAAAGUCGAGAGGCUAAAUUUGAAAUAAAUGAUCCAAGUAUAAGGGGACGGUUGUAACUCAAAACGACAUGAAAAUUUCGUGCAAACCAAUAUCCUAAAUUAACUUUAAGACCCGAAUGCAUGCACUACAAAAAGAACAGUUCAAUUUUAGUCAAAGCAGCUGAUGAGUCAUUUCUACCUGAAAAACAAAAUGCUAAAAAUCGGUGUAUGUAUUUUAAAGCAGGCUCAUGCACCCAUAAAUCUUUUGUGGUCUUUGGAUUAUAAAGUUGGUCAGAAUUAGUUAAAACACGAUAAACAUGCUGAGCAUCAAAGUCAUUGGGAACAUCUAAAAGAGCAGAAUGAUAGGUAUCGGAUUGAAUGUCAUUAGGGUCGAUGAAACCCAUGGCAAUGUUAAAUUCUGAAACAGACAUCUGAAAUUCUUUUCCAAGCAAACGAAAGCACACUAUAUUUUGUGUUUCAACAGUUUGCAAUGCAUUUAUAUUGAAGCUAAAUGUGGUAUAAAACUCAUAUACUAAUUCAUAAUAUGCAUAACAAGAAAUAUUAGCAAAUAGAGUCCAACCAAUAGCAUCAAAAUAAUGGAGCACUGCAUCAUGAAUAUCCAGAAGUUUUAGAGUAGGGAAAUCGAUUUGCUUACAGACCGGAAGCAAGCGUUGUCGGAUGGCGUUGUAUCGUGUUUGCUGUUCCGAUGUCGAAAACUCUAGAAAUCCUCGCAAACGACUAUCGGUAGGAAUAACAUUUGCUCGACUACGUUUGUUGCAUUGAUUUGCUCGGGAUGGUCGAACGUGCUCGUUAGGCGAGUUGGGUGGGGGAUUUCAUUCAGCAGCUUCAAUACUGCUGUGCGGGGCGUCGAUGGCUCACGUGUCGACCGUCGAUGACUUCGGGUUUGGCGUUGAGAGACUUGUUCAACGACGGUGGGUGUAGGCUCGACAUGAACGUUAGAAGUUUCGACUUCCUUUAGACUGCCCGAAGUGCUUAUGUCGGUCGGGGUUAGACUUAGUCGUCGGCGAGCUCUUGGUUGCACGACCGUUCGUCUUGGAGGAGGUGGAGGAGGGUUGUCAUCAUCGAUAUCGACGACAAGAGGGGCAGAGAGUCAGUGCCGACUCCGAUUGAGUGAAACCGGGAAGUUGUCGACCAUUUGGUUUCGAGUUUGAACCAUGGUCUCGGUCGUAGCGUUAAAAAAUUAGAGUUUCAGAAGGUUACGGCGGUGCACGAUAGUAGUGACGGUGACAAUGGCGGCAGUGAGGACGAGUGGUGCAUUUUUGGCUGAUUUUUUUUGAAUGGUGAUGGUAGGGGUGUCGGUUUUGAUGAUGGGUGAUGGGUUGUGUGUUUUAAAGAGAAGAAAAAAAAAUAAAAAUAAUAAGAAUAAAAAUAGGGUUUGGGGGUAAUGUGCGGCGGCGCAUGGCGGUGGGGGUUCUGGUCGACGACGAUGGUGCGAUGUAAUCGUUGGGGACUUGUUCGGCUAUGGUUCGGCCGUGGGAAAGGCUUCGGACGGCAUGGGUAAGUUGGAGGGGAAAAGAAAAGAAAAGAAAAUAGAGGUGGCGUGGACGCGGGGUCGACAGUGGCGCGGCGCGAGGUGAGGUGUGGCGAGGUGCGACGACGAUGAUGGAUGGCCGGUGAAAGGAGUGACGACGGUGGUCGACGGUGACUAGGUUGUUUGGGGUUUUUUUUUAUGGAGAAGAUGGAGAAGAUAUUGGGAAAUUAGGGAUUUGGGUGUUUAAAUUUUUAUUUUUGUUAUUAUUUUUUAAUUGGGUUAUUUUAGGUUGGGUGGGGUAAUUGGGUUAUGUGUAGUUUGGGCCAACCAUGGUUAUUGGGUUUUGUGUGGGUAUUGGGUGGUUUUGGUUUAUUUGGGUAGGUGAUGUAAUUGGGUUUAAGGGAAGUAGGUAGUUUUGUAUUUGGGUUUGGUUUAUUUUAGCAUGUGGGUAAAUGGGUUUGGAUUUAAUUUUUUGGGUGUUGGGUUUUUUUUUUCACUAACACCAAAUUAGCAAGUCGUGCCCACGCCUCCAUCAGUACUCGUCUUUUUGAAAAUUAAUAACUCCCAUAGUGUUCCUGAAAACAUCAAAUUGACUAAGUUAAAUAAGAAUUAAUUUAUUUAUUUAUAUCCUAAUUUAUUUAAACUAAAAAUUAAAUAAAUGAAAAUAAAUUUGGGUUGCCUCCCAAAAAGCGCUUUUGUUUAACUUCGUUAGCUCGACGACCUGUUAUUCAAACUUUGGGCUCGUCGAGAACAAUCUCCUCAUCUGUGUGUGUUUGAAAAUUCUCGAAAAAGGGUUUUAGUCUUUGACCAUUCACUUUAAAGCGCUUUCGUGUCUCUUCACUUUGAAUUUCCACUGCACCAUUCGCAAAUAAAUUAGUAAUAAUAAACGGUCCUAUCCAUUUGGAUCGAAACUUACCAGCGAAGAUUUUUAAGGUGGAGUCGUAUAGGAGAACUUUUUGUCCUAUUGAGAACUGCUUCCUAGUGAUGAACUUGUCAUGAAACGCCUUCGUCUUUUCUUUAUAAACUCGAGCAUUUUCAUAUGCAUCGUUUCUGAUUUCUUCGAGUUCUUGGAUGUCUAAUUUCUGAGAUUUUCCUGCAGACUUCAUUUCCAUAUUACGCUGCUUAACUGCCCAAAAAGCUUUGUGCUCUAACUCGACCGGAAGAUGGCACGGUUUACCGAAAACGAGUCGGUAAGGUGACAUGCCUAUUGGUCCCUUGUAAGCUGUCCUAUAAGCCCAAAGUGCAUCAUUCAGUCUCAAACUCCAAUCCUUCCUGUUAGGUUUAACCGUAUUUUCCAGAAUAGACUUGAUCUCUCGAUUUGACACUUCGGUUUGCCCGUUUGUUUGUGGAUGGUAAGCAGUGGCAAUUCGUUGAGUCACUCCAUAUUUCUCCAUUAAUGCACUUACGAGCUUAUUGUAAAAAUGUGUUCCUCUGUCACUGAUUAAUGCUCGUAGAGUGCCAUACCUGGAAAAAAUAGAACUUUUAAGAAAGUCAACUACGGUCUUAGCAUUAUCAUUGCAAGUGGCCUUUGCCUCUAUACACUUAGAGACAUAAUCAACAGCUAAGAGUAUAUAAAAAUUACCGAAAGAAGAAACGAAAGGACCCAUAAAGUUGAUGCCCCACACAUCAAAAAUUUCACAAAUAUGAAUAGAAGUAAAAGGCAUCUCAUUUCGACGACUAAGGUUGCCAACUCUUUGGCAUUUUUCACAAGUUUUGCAGAAAUAAAAGGCAUCACGAAAUAUGUUUGGCCAAAAUAAUCCCCAUUCGAGAAUUUUGUGUGCGGUGCGUUUAGGCCCAAAGUGCCCUCGACAUGCAUAAGAGUGACAAAUGUUAAGAUAGACUGUACCUCUAUUUCUGCUACACAACGUCGUAUUACCUGAUCCGAGCAAUGCUUCCAAAGGUCAGGAUCGUCCCAAAUGUAAUAUCGUGCAUCCUUUUUUAUCUUAUCUUUUUUUGACCUUGGCAAAUCUGAAGGAACAGUACCUGUGACGAGGUAAUUUACUAUGUCUGCAUACCAAGGAUACACUACAUUUGCUGAAAAUAGGUUUUCAUCUGGAAAGUUGUCCUUCAAUGGUGUGUCGUCUACUGGAAUCGGUAAUUGACUCAGAUGGUCAGCUACUAGGUUUUCGCUUCCCUUCUUAUCCCGAAUUUCAAAAUCAAACUCUUGUAGGAGUAGAAUCCACCUGAUCAGUCGGGGUUUUACCUCCUUCUUCCCUAUUAAAUAUUUCAAAGCUGCAUGAUCAGAAAAGAUAAUUACAUUAGUUCUCAAUAGGUAAGAUCUGAAUUUAUCUAAAGCAAACACAACAGCUAAUAAUUCUUUUUCGGUCGUUAUGUAAUUGCUUUGGGCAGCAUCCAAAAUCUUCGAAGCAUAGUUGAUAACAUGAGGCUCUUUCCCUAUUCUUUGGCCAAGAACAGCUCCCACACUUUGGUCACUCGCAUCAGACAUGCUUUCGAACGGUAAGUUUCAAUUUGGUGGCUGCACUAUGGGAGCGGAGACCAAUUUAUGCUUUAGCACAUCAAACGCAUCUUUACAAGUCUGGUCAAAUUCAAAUUCUUUAUCCUUUUGUAACAGUCUACAAAGUGGUCGCGCGAUUUUCAAAAAAUCUUUCAUGAAUCGUCUGUAAAAUCUUGCAUGGCCAAGAAACGAACGAACUUCCCUCACUGAUGAGGGUAAGGUAACGAGUUAAUAAUAUUCGUUUUUGCCUUAUCGACCUCGAUUCCUUUCGAGGAAACUAUAUGACCCAAAAUUAAUCUUUUGUCAACUAUGAAAUGGCAUUUCUCAUAAUUUAAAACAAGAUUAAAUUCUAGGCAUCUUUGUAAUAUCUUAGCAAGAUUAUUGAGACAUUCGUUAAAAGAGUUACUGUAUACCGUGAAGUCCUCCAUAAAGACUUCAAUGAUUUUCUCGACGUAAUUAGAGAAUAUGCUCACCAUGCAUCUUUGGAAGGUGGCCAGCGCAUUGCAGAGUCCAAACGGCAUCCGUCUAUACGCAAAUGUUCCGAAGGGAUAUGUGAAAGUUGUUUUGUCUUAAUCCUCCAGAGCCACUAGAAUCUGAAAAAAUCCUGAGUACCCAUCGAGACAACAAUAAUGGGACUUACCAGCUAAUCGCUCGAACAUUUGAUCGAUGAAGGGGAGUGGAAAAUGGUCUUUUCGGGUAACUGCAUUCAACUUUCUGUAAUCGAUGCAAACCCUCUAUCCAUUCUGUACUCGUGUAGGGACCAGCUCACCUAACUGGUUUUUCACCACUGUCACGCCAGUUUUCUUGGGCACAACAUGAAUCGGGCUAACCCAAUUACUGUCAAAAAUCGGAUAUAUCAUUCCAGCAUCUAACAGUUUCUGGAUCACUUUCUUUACUACCUCCAUCAUGGGUGGAUUAAGGCGCCGUUGAGCAUCCCUCUUUGGUUUCGUGUUGUCUUCAAUGGAAAUUUUGUGCAUACAGGUGGAUGGACUUAGCCCUUUUAUGUAGGCUAUCGUCCAACCAAUAGCUUCCUUAUAAUCUCUCAGAACUCAAACUAGACUUUCCUCCUCAUCUUUGGUUAACUUGUUUGACACAAUUACAGGUAAGGUGUCUUUCUCUCCCAAAAAGACGUACUUAAGAUGGUCCGGUAAUGCUUUAAGCUCCAAGAUUGGUGGCUGCAAAACUGAGGGUAACAUUUUAGUUUGGGAAGGUAAUAGUUCAAAUUGGUUACCUCGGUUUGUCAACGAAAGUUGCAUAUCCAAGUGAUUGACGAUUUCUUGCAACGUAUCUUCAAUGACUGCGAAUUCCUCGAGAUGAUGUAAAACAUCCAUGUCAAUGUUUCUGUAAAGGACAGUUUCCAACUCAUCAAAGUCAUGAUAUUUAGAAUAAGAUUGAGUUAAACAAUCUAAAAUAUCAAUGCUAGAAAUAUUUAAUAGUGAGUUAGGAUGACCCAUGGCCUCGUAGACAUUGAAUUUCACAAUUUCACCAUCAAACUCCAUGGUCAGUGUCCCACUUCGAACAUCUAUUUUUGCGCUUGCGGUACUUAGAAACGGCCUUUCAAGCAAAAUGUCAGACGAAUUAGUUGAAUUAUCAUCUUCUAUACUAAUAAUGUAGAAAUCUGCAGGGAAAACUAAUUCGUUAACUUUAACAAGGACGUCUUCAAGUAGCCAUUCGGGAUAGACGACUGACCUGUCCGCCAACUGGAUUAUUACUCCUGUCUCUUUUAAAGGACCCACGUUAAUCAGCUUAUAAAUAGAAUAAGGCAUAACAUUAAUGGAAGCCCCUAAAUUGCACAUGGCUUUCUUAAUACCUAUAUUGCCUAUCUCACAAGGAAUAGCAAACAUACCCUGGUCCUUGUAUUUGGGUGGAACUUUUUUUUGCAGCACUGCGGAGACAUUUUCUCCUACAUUUACUCUUUCGUUACCUAUUAACCUCCUUUUGCUAGUACACAAUUCCUUGAGGAAUUUUGCAUAACGAGGGAUAUGUUUGAUAGCGUCGAGUAAAGGGAUAUUUACCUCCACCUUCCUGAAUGUCUCGAGGAUUUCUUUUUCCUCAUUCUCUUUCUUAUCCCUUGCAAGCCUCCCUGAAAAAGGAGGUGGCAUCACAACUGGUUUCUGAACUUCUGAUUCUGGCCUUGCUGUUGGAUCCGAAAUCUGCUUUUCCCAUUCCUUUUCUUGCCCAUGAUUUUUUGCUGGAACUGUUUCAAGAACCUUUCCGCUACGAAGAGUUAUUGCACUGACAUUCUGCCGGGGGUUCGGCUCUGUUUGAGAAGGUAGUUUACCAUGUGAGUCCAAACGAUUAACUGCCAUCGAGAGUUUACUAACUUGAUUAGUUAACUCUAGUAUUGAUGCGUCUGUCCUUUGUUGAUAUUUUGCAGCAUCGGCAGCAAGUCUUUCCACGAUAGCUUCUAGAGAUGUGCUCGGCUUGUGUUGUGGUGGUGGCUGCAGAGGUCUCGGUUGGUAUGAUGAAUUAUAUCGGGGAUUAGCUCCGUAAUUCAGGUUGGAAUGAUCUUUCCACCCGGGAUUGUAGGUGUUGGAGAAAGGAUUAUAGCGUCUUUGCGGAGGUCCUGGAAAGCCUCCGAUAGCGUCAAUAUGUGCCGUUGAAUUGUUGUUAAGGAUUUGGCACAAAUCUGUCGGGUGUUCAUACGUAGUACAAAUUCCACAUAGUGGGGUCAAACUCUUCUUUUCUGUAAGCAAAGAUUGAACAACAUUCGUAAGCUUAUCCAAUUUAUCUUCUAAAGUUGAAACCUUUACCCCAUUAACCCGUCUUGUCGGUUUUGAAUUUGGCCGAUAUUGUUUAGAAUUUGUCACCAUGGUGGAUAUUAGCUCUCUUGCCCUUUGAGGGGUCAUAUUGACAAGCGCUCCUCCGCUAGCAGCGUCGAUCAUCUUCAUUUCCAUAGGGAGCAAACCCUCGUAGAAAUAUUGAAGAAGUGAUUGUUCGAUCAACCCAUGUUGAGGACAACUUGCACACAGUUUUUUGUACCGCUCCCAGUAGUCGUAGAGCGAUUCACUCUCCAAUUGGCGAAUUCCCACUAUGUCCCUCCUAAGCUCGGCUGCUCGAGACGCUGGGAAGAACCUGUCAAGAAAUACACGAGAUAAGUCAUCCCACGUUGUGAUAGAACCGGGAGGUAAGUAAAAUAACCAUUCUUUUGUUGUAUCAACUAAAGAUAAAGGAAAUGCCUGAAGUUUGAUCUCAUCUUCAGGUACUCCCUGGGGUUUCAUGCUUGAGCAGACCAUGUGGAAUUCUCUCAAGUGAGUGUGUGGAUUUUCGUUCUUCAGGCCUCGAAAAGUGGGCAACAGGUGAAUCAAGCCCGACUUCAAUUCGAAAGGAGUUCCUCCGGUUGGAUAGUUAAUGCAUAAUGGUGUUUGCUCGUUGGGAGCAGCAGCUAGUUGACGAAUGGUUUGGUUGGCCAUCCUUUCUAGUUCACCGAGGUUGCCUUUUGUUUCAAAGAGUGGUUCAGUCUCAGGUUCAACCUCUUCUACUUGUUUCCCACGUCGAAUUGCUUCCGCACGAAUUACUUCCCUCAAUUUUUCAACGUCGGAUUCUAGGAUCCCCUGUCCUAGCUCAAUUCCUGAUUUACUUGCACGUUUAAGAGCUUCUGUCUCUUUUCACCGUGCUCGUACUGAUUUCUCAAUCUCUGGGUCGUAUUCGAGAUCUCCGGAUGAAGAUCUGGUCAUGAAGAUAAUUUAAACAAUUGUAAGUGUUGCCAGUCCCCGGCAACGGCGCCAAAACUGAUGGCUGUCGAUUCCACCAAUAUAAACCUACACCUAGUUUGCAAAUUAAAGCAGUAUAGGGAGUAGGGUCGAUCCCACAGAGACUGAAAUUACUGAAAAUUGUUUGUUUCUUGACCAGAUUAGUGUCUGGGCAGUUGUCGUGCCCGCGACGUUUGGGGGGGGAAAUAAAAUAUGAAACCUAAAAUAAACACAAGAAAACGUAAAAAGUAAAAAGUAAAAGAUGAAAUAAAAAUAAAUAACGAAAUAAUUUAAAGGAAAAUCAAUAAAACUUAGCUCAGCCUUAAGCACGGGUUUUCCUGUCUUUGACCCGUUCCUCGAAAUUAGGUGAACUCUUCUUUUCCGAUAAGCUAGUUAUAGCUACCAAGGACGCCUCAGACACCAACUCUUCCUUGUGUAAAUUAGUUAUGGAACGUCCUAUAACUAACCCUUACCGAUCGAACAACCUACGAAACGUUCGUGAUUUAGAACUCUGGCAGCUUUGCGUUCAAGAAGAGCCUAGCUCGAACCAAUGCCUUCAAAUGUUUGGGACAUUUAAAUCUGGUUACUACUUCCCUUGACGGAACCAAACAACAAUCCUCACUUGGCACGCCAAUGUGUUCAUGGAAGACCAAUUAGACAAUCGAUCCUUUCGGAAUUCCAACUGUACGUCUAGCCACACUAACUCAAACGACGUCUUUUUUGACUUAGUGUUGUCUAGACUUUGUGAGUUGAUGAAGUCAUACUUUUAAUCCGGAGAAAUAAUAAAUAUCGAAAGUUGGGAGUUAAACAGCUCAGGUUCGUAACUCAUGGGUUUUUUGACGGGGUUAACACCGACUUAAAACUGAAAGGGGUUUAGUGUGGCAUGAAUUUAAUCAUGCUUGAAGGUUAUGGAAAUGAUAGAAAUUAUAUGAAAAAGGUAGUGGAAAUGGAUAGGAAAAAUAUUUGCAAAGAGAAUUAGAUAAAUUUUGUAAAAAGAAGACAAAAUAAUCUAAUGCUCAAUUGAAUUAAGAAAAAGAAAAACAAGGUGGAUAAUGGAAUUCCAAAAUGAAAUAGGAAUGUAAAGACAAUUGAUUAAUGGAUGAUUUCCUAAGAACUAAAACCCCCUAUUUAUAUAGAUAGGGUUUACUAAAAAUAGCUUAAGAAAAUUAAUAUAAAAUCUAAAAUAAUAAUAAUUAAAAAUAAAUAAAAUUAAAAUAAACUUAAAAUAGAAUUUCCUAUUUUUGGCUUUUUACAAAGUCAAAUUUAUGACUAGUCCUUGGCUUACUCCAUCUUUUCGCUUUGGCCCAUUCCAAUAAUUUUCUUCUAAUUUGGCCCCUUUUCAGCUUGCUUUUGAUCAAUUGCAUCCCUGACAAGAAUUAAAUCAUAAAAACACUUAAUUAGCAAGGUUCAGUUCAUCAAUAAACCAAAUUAAGCACAAAAAAUAUGCAAUUUGACAUGUUUAUCACUUGGGGAUUAUAAAGCUUCAGCAUAUGUCGAAGCCUCCAAAUUGUCCGUGAUUUCCCCAAACCACGGACAUUCCAACUUAGGAUUUUCAUUAAAUCGGCCGGCUUGCCUCCUGGUAGCCGCCGAUAAUAAUUGAUUUUGAUCUCCAGAUCUCCCACUUUUUGGCAUUAACUUACUCACCUCAUUUGUUCCUGUUGGCUCAUCCUCUUCCACUCUAGAUCUCUUUUUGCCCUCCUCUCCUAUUAAAGCUGUAUCUUCUAUGUCGUGAUCCAUAAAAGUAUGUAUCUGCCCUGGCCAUACCCUCUUCAAUCGUUCGCCAGAAGCUGAUGAAUCCCCUUCUAUAUUAAAACCAAGAAUUGGGUCUACCUUCCUUCCACAACUCUAUCUGUUUUCAGCCCGCCACAUCCCAUUCACUAUGAGUCCUUUACUGUCAUUACUACCAUCCACUUUGACAUCACCAACCUCACGUAGCCAGAUACUAUUCAUAGCUCGAGCUUUUCUAGAUUGAGCUCGUAAGGUUAAAUCCUAACCCAUAUCAGCAGCUUCCACACCGAGCAUCAUCCUAUCUUCACAAAAGGAAUCACUGUGACCCAGUCGACCGUAAUAGAAACAAAAUAAUGGCAAUCGCUCAUAUUUAAAAUUGAAAUAUGAACAUCUCCCAUAUAAUAGAAUCUGUUUUUUCCCUUUUCAAUGGGCGUCUAACAUCAAUUUGAACUCUGAUUCUCAUGAAAGUCCUAUUCUCCUUCCCCAGAUUGGAUCCAUCAUAUUCCAGAAAAACACCAAUGAAAUUUCUUAUCUGGAUCGCCAAAUUUUCAGAAUAUAAACUAACAGGAACAUCAUGAAUCUGAACCCAAAAAGGUGCCAAAACUAAAGGUACUUAUAAUGGAUCCUCCCCCAAUCGCAGUUUAUAAAGAAGCAGCAAAUGAUUAUUAAAAGUCCAAGGAGAACCUUUAAGAACCCUAUCGAGAUCCAUAAAAUGAAAAAAUUGAAACAAAUACCUUUUUUCCCCCAUAUCUCAAAUCCGGUUAGGCCAUAAGUUAGCCAAAGUACUUUUCAUUGCAGGAAAAUGUAUGAUAUUGGCUGUCAAAAAACAACCCACUAAUAGAAAACUCUCUCCCUCUUCUUCCCUACUCAGAUCUGGUUGAAUUUGAAUAAUUUCGUGUUCUUCUUCAUUUAUUGAGAGUUGAGCCAAUGCGUUCUCCAUGUUUGCAGGUGUAGAAUCCCAAUUUUUCUACCUUUCAAUAGAUCCAAGCCACUAAGCAUGCACCUACGUCGCCUUGCAGAGGCCAGACUUCAAAGAACAAGCACUAACAAAAGAACGAAAAAACACCAAAGACCUAAAACUUCUUGCCAGCGGCGGCAGACAAAACCUUGCUAGGGUAGCAGACUAAACAAUGCAUUUAAAUUUUUAAUUUUUUUUAAGCAAUGCAGAAGAGUGUUUAGAAGAAUAAAAACACCGUGGGUGAAUAUUAUCGGAAACUGGUGUUUCUAAUAUCGGUUUUAACUUAAAAGAAAAAAAAACAAAAAUAGGCCAUUUUCACUCUGAAAGCGAUGCUUCAAGUUAAAAAAUCUCUCCGAAUUUCAAAUUUAGGUAAGUUUCUUUCUUCUUAUUUGUAAAUUAAACAAUCGUUCUCAGCAUUAAGUAAACAUCUAUUUUCUCGCUGGUUUUACUUUUGCUUGUUGCAGCUGUACAAUAUGUGUAAAAGAUUCUGUAAUUUGUUUAAUAUACAUUCAAAUUCGCAUCUUUUUACCUAUAUAUAUAUAUAUCUAAACUCUAACGUCUCUGUAAAAAUCGGUAAACAAAAUGAAAAAGCAAAAAGAAAUUUGUUGGGGGUAUUCAUGACGCCAAAGCAAUCCAAUAACUUGCUGUGCAUGUACUUGUUGGAGUGCCAAUUAUCCGUAUCCAUACCCAUUGCUUGUCCUGAACUUCCCGAAUUUCUGCCAACUGCAUAAUUUAAUAAAUUUCAUGACUAUCUUACACAUUUCUCAAGACAAAGCUUGAAGCAAGGAUUUUUCUUUUUCCAUUGAAAUUCUGUUGCAUGUUUAAAGUUGCUUGAUUGUUGUGGAUCCCAGAAUGUUUUAAUAGGAAACUUGAACAAAAUAACGUAAAGAACUUCAGUUGAGUUUUUGCCUAGUCUGUGAUGACAUUUUCUAGAUUGAUUUUUUUUCUUUUGUUUGUUUGUAUGAAAUGUUCAUGAAAUGCAUUAUUUACCUUUUAUGUCUGUGUUUUGGUUGCUUAGGAUAAUUAUCAGAUGUUAGAAAAUUACAAAUAUGGAUAAAUUAUGGUCUUGAAUUGCUUACUCUGCCAUCUCUUAGCUCGAAAAUAGCUGAAUUUUCAGAAAGUGGAAUUGGUCUUGUAGAAGCAACCUGUCCAUAUUUGUAGAGAUUUUAAAAAUCAGUUUAACAUCACUGUUGUUGUAGGCAUGCAGGAGUAAGUGAAUGUGGAUGGCUGGAUACUAACCUUUGGGUCACAGUUACCAUUCGAAUAAUUUGGGUUCUCCAUUUUUGUUUGAUCUUCAGUAUCUUUGUCUCUAUCAUGCGGGGAACCACAGUUUUUCCAUCUCCAUGUCAAUUGGUCCAUGUACCUUAGGUAUACAUUUCCGUCUGAACCUAUCAAAAGCAGUUGAUUGCCUUUGAAAAAUGGACCAGGAGGAGCAACUAAGUUAACAUCUUUGCAUGGAGUGCCAUGUUCUACCCAGAUCCAACCAUCCCAUGCAUUCCAGUGAUAUUCAACUAAUCCACCAUCUUCUGAAAGCAUGAAAAGUGAACCUGUUAAUGAAAAGAAUGAAGGCCUUAUGACAGUUCCUGGCAACCUGGAUAGAACCAAAUGCUGAGAUUGGUGAUGCUCAUGCCACAAUUCAGUUACUUUGUUAUACUGGUAGAGCCGACCAUUUCUUCCAACAACAAACACUAUAUUCUCCCUAAAGAUUUCUUGGUCUAUUAUGCAUGCAAGUUUGGUUUCUGGAGGGUUUCGGCAGUAUUUCCAUUUGAACUUUCUCAGGGCAACCUACAUGACAUGUAAGGAUGUUGGUUAGUGCAACACUUUGGGAGCAAAGUAACGAAUCUGAAUGACUAGUUUUUGAAGACUAGAUAAUGGAAUUAUGUUAUGUUAACGUUAUAUAUCUUACUCUAGUUUAUCUAGUAGUCAAUUGCCCUUGACGCUGCCAUAUCAUUCUGGAUACUCAGAAUGUGGCUCUUCUUAAGGUAUAAUUUGAAAAUUUUCACUGGUAAGAUGGUUUUAGGUAUAAUAUGGUGAAAAUGUGAUAAACUGAGUCGGUACUUGAAUAUAUAAUUCAAGGCUUGUGUCUCUUAUGGAAGAAUUUCAGAAAUGAAAAAGCAGCAGGCUUGUUAUCUAUUCGUUUUGGCCUUUUAUUUGUUUUUUCUUAUAGGAGGAAAAGAAGAAAGAAAGAAAAUCCUAAACGAACCAUCUUGUAAUUAAUCUGUUUGCUUUUCAGAUUUUAUUUUAUUUGCUACUUACUGUGAACUGAAGUAGUCUUCCACUUUUGCUCACAAAAAAGAGUGCAUCUUCUGCUGUGACUUUCAGUUUACCAUCCCAAGGAGGACCUGCCGUAACUUGUGUUCCUUUCCUCAUUGCAGUGCAAUUUAUCCAUGCUAGGUCAUUUCCGGUCCUUUCUCUGAUAAGCAAGGUUCCAUAAAUGUCAACAAAAAAUAAACUUCCAUUGUAGUUUCCUAGGGAACCUCUCAUAGGUGUUGAAUGGUCGUGCCUUAACCAGAGCCAUACAUUUUCAGUGUAAAGAUAUUCAAACGUCAAACCCUCAUCUGUUACCAUAAAAAAUGAUACACCUGCUUGCAUCAUCCUCAGUCGGAAAUUAGUGUUAGUCCAGUUAUCUGGGAAACUGUAUUCUUUUGAUGUUUCUGCAAGGGCACUCCUGGAUGUGCUUGGAGAUAAGUACUCUUGUUGUGCUUUAUUACCCUUUCUCCUUCUUGUCAGGGAUCUUGUAUUACCUGCAUCGUUUGAUUCAUCUUUUAUACCUGCUAUGCAAUUCAUAGGUCCACGUUCUUCUGUACAAUACUCAGCAUUCCAUCCUUCUGUCUCAGGCGCAUCUAAUAUUGACCAGACAUACUUAGAGGAUACUUUUUUUCUCAUGUUAAAUUGAUGUGUUGGCCCUGAAUUCUCACCACCUAGGUUAGGCAUAUGUAACUCUGCAAGUCUACCGUCAUCCAGUGCAAACAGGGUCCUGCCAAGUUGAAAUCUUAGUCCUGCAAUACCUCUUGCAGCUUUUGCAUUUGGUGGAUGCAUAUGAUUCAGCCAUGUUACUGAGAUUUGGUUCUCUUGAGCUGUACCUGUCUUCACAUGUAAAAGUUAAAUUGAGGAUCUACUGUGGUUGCCAGAUAUCAAGAAGACUGUAACUAGCAGGUAAUAAACAUGCAUCAUUAUCUUAAGACUACAUAAUUUCAUACAUUUUUUUGAACUUGCUUAGAGGUCUCAUAUAAAAGCCAUGAGUUCCCUGAACUACAUGUGCAUAAGAAAGGGCAACCUCAUUUGUUUCCCUCAAUGAGUUUACAUGUUUUGCAUGAGAAGUUGGUUCUAGGAACUUAAGAUACUUAUAUUGUAGUUAGAUAUCUUUUUGUGGCUGAGAUUUGAGUCUUCUUCAUUAUUCAGUUAAACUCACUGAUCUAAAAGUUGCUUUUCGAAGUCAUUUUGUAACUUAUGUUACUUCUAAACUUAAUGUUGGUUGCUUUAUCAUCUACUCCCUCGUUGACUUUCUAAAGUCUACUGUCAAGGCCCCUUAACACAUUUUUCCUUUAGUUCUUUUCAUGAUUCUUCAGCUUUAUACUGAUAAGUGAAUUAACUGAUAUAUAUAUAUAUAUGUAUGAUUAUUUAGGGGGGACUAAGACAAAUAUUUAAUUUUGAAGGCCACCUGGUAUAUGUAUAGUCAGAUUGUGAAAAAUAUCUUAAUAUCAUUGAUUUCCAUAUUUGGCAGUUACCUUUAAUCUUAUUAUUUCUUCUCUAAUUUUUUUGGACUGUACUAGGUUCUCUCAUGUCCUCAGAUCAUAACUGGUUUCUUGCAAGAACUACAAUGGCCGUUCCUUAGAGUUAGAGGGAUAUUCAAUAGAAUUUAGACAUAUACUCUGAUGUGGCUUGGAAUGAGAUUGUUAUUGAUAUCAAUAACUAGAUGUCUGAAAAAACAGUGUUAUUUGAACUUAGGGUUAGUUUUGUUUAUGGUUAUGUUUCCAACAUGGAUAUGUUCAGAUUCUUAAAUGUUUUUUUUCCAAGAUAGAUGAAUAUAUGACAAAUGCAGGUACUUCAAGAAAAAUGAAGAACUGGAGUCACAUAGCCAAAGAAAAGAAAAAAAAAAAAGAAAAAGCUAUUUGGGGACCAUUCAACUUAACCUUAUAAAUAACUAAUAUGUUUAAAGUUACCAUUCAAGGAAGAUUAUCUAUCAAGCUAUUGAUUUUUUUCCAUUAUUAAAGGAAGAAGAGAAGAUUGCUGGUACUUUUUUUUGGAGAAUCUCAUGGAUUCUUUAGGUGCAAAUAUUGUAGUGCCGUAAACCUAUAAUUGUUUCAAAUUUGUAGGGAUAGACUGAUAUUUUGAGAUAGGAUCCUGAUUUCUUUCCUAGAAUAACUAUUGUAUCAUUUGGAAUAAGAAACAAUAAAUAUUUAUGUUAUCGGAGCUAGGUAUUCCUAAAAUCUUCUCUCCAUUCAUUUACAGCCUUUUGUUGAAACCUUAGUCUAAGAAAACUUAUCAACCUUCAUUGUUGAAACCUUAGUUCAAAAACCUAUCUUCCUUCAUUGCUGAAUAUCACCUUGAAAAUGGCUAGAAUCUGAAAUAAUUCCUCAAACACUUACUGAAAUAGUCAAUCAAAUGGGGGACUACAGAAUUUGAACCCUGCUUAUCAUCUCAAUUGAAGAAACUAUCUGCAGUGGUUACAAAUUGUCAAUGGAAUCUAUGUCAUUAGUCUGCUCCAACCAUAAUUGAUCCCAAGUUCAGUGCAUGGGUUGAAGAAGAUUCCUUGAUUAUAUGGUGGCUUUUGAUUUCUAUAGAUUCUAAACUAGGUGGACCUUUUAUGUUCCUUUCAACUACUCGAGAAAUAUGGGAGGCAAUAGGUCAAUCUUAUUCCAAGAUCAAUGAUGUAGCCCUUAUUUUUUGAGAUCAAAACCAAAAUAUCAGCCACUAGGCGAGGUACAUUCUUCAGCUGUAAAUAUAGUAGUGCUGUAGAUCCAUAAUUGUUCCAGAUUUGUAGGGAUAGACUGAUUUCUAGGGAUAAACUGAUUCUUUGGGAUAGGAUCCUGAUUUCUUUCCUAGAGUAACUAUUGUAUCUUUGUAUAAAUAGAGGUACAAAGCUGUCAUUUGGAUAAGAAAUAGCAAAGGUUUCUUCACUUUUUAAUACUACUUGACUUACCUGAAUGGUUUGGUAUUCGAUACUCAAAAACUGAUCCGGUGGAUGUAGUUAGAAACAAUGAGAUGAAUGUUUCAUUUGGUUCAUCUUCCAGCAAGGGAGUAAUAGAUGUCAGGUGAUGAUCUUCUGGACUUUCAUGAUUUAUCCAUUUCCUUUUCCGUUGAUAUAGUCGUCUCUCUACCAACUUACCUCCCUAUAUAUCAAAGGAAGUCCAUUAGACAUGACAUUAAAUUUAGGAUAAUAGGAUAUGUAUGCAUUGUGUUAUUAGUUUGUAAUGCAGAGUACCUUUGUUAGGAGAAACAAGGAUAUAGAGUGAUCUCCAAUCAAGCCAUGUACGGUGCACCCCAUGAGUGGUAUUAGAGAACCCUCUUUUGAUGCAUCUACACUCUUUAGAUGCUUUUUCCAUGAUGGCCUUGAGUUCUUAUCAUAUUCAUAGAGAUCACCUGCAGAACUAUUGCACCAUUUCAUGUUUAACUAACUUUGGUGAAUCUUAAAAGUGAAAUAAACAACAGGUUAUAGUUUAUACUCUGAUAGCAACAUGCAUAGACAUUUGUGGCAUUCACACAUAACUCUUUCUUUUAUACCUUAGGAUCUUGUUUUGGAGAAGCAUUUUAUUUUAUUGUGCAUUCAUUUCUCCAUUUGACAAUGCUUUAUAAUUUGGUUAAAAAAUAGUCAGAAGUUAAUGGCAAAAUAACAUUUGUGAAAAAUAGUGGAAUGUUCCACAAAAUAUUUUAGCUUUUGACUAUCUUUGAGUCAAAUUUGAAAUAGCAGUAAAAUUGCACCUGCACCUGUUCAAAGUUGAGCUGUAAAUUUGAUCCAUCAUCUUAAGUAGAGUAGGAAUAUUGAACCUUAUACCAAAACUAAUAACAUAUGCCUUGUUAGACUAAAGAUUUUCAAUAUCUCUUUGCUGGAUAAAAAGUAAGACUAGAGUAUUUUGGAUGUUUCUGUACAUCUGGAGAGAAAGGGAGAGCACCUUAUUGUAUAUACAACUUCUGCUCUAAUUCUAGCUGCAUCAGCAAUUGCUGCGACAUCUGCUCCUGGUGGCCGGCCAUGAUUCUCCCACCUGCUCUAUAUUUACAAUUACAACACAUAAGCCAUACUGUAUAUUAGAGUCUGCUAUUGAAAUCUGAAUCUCAUUUAUAGACUGGCAUAUAAGAAUUGAGUCAUCAAUGGUCGCAACGAAUGAAGUUCUCUAUUUGCUUUAAGACUUUGAAAGGAAAAGGUUUCUACCUUGGAGGUUCAACCUCGCUGAGUUCUAGCAACAAGCCGUUCUUUGUGCAGAAAUAAACUCUCCUACAUUGAGUUCAGAAAAAACAACGAAACUGUUAGUAGUGGGAAAUUGCUUACAUAAUGCAAUGAAAUUUGAUCACGCCCCUCUAUCAUGUGUUAUUCCCUGAAACAAAAUUCUUGAUGUUGAAUUAAUGUACUUACUGUCCAUCAUAUGAAACAGUACUGGACUUUAUUUGAAUCACUGAACUCUGUUCUGCUUCUUCAUUUGUACUUUGAUUGAAUGCAGGUUUGAACUCCACCCAUAUUGGUUGCGAGUUGUCACCGAGUUGCAUCUGAAAAAAGGAAGAUAAAUCAGCCUAUAAUAACAAGGAACCCUUGUGGUCACAAUACAAGUACGUGCCUUUUGCAAGAUUUUAUGUGUUAUAUUAUUCUGGCUACGGAUUCAAAAAGUUGAGGAUGGGGUUUUAAAGUAUUCUAACCUAAAAUAAUAGAAGUGGACAAUUUACUCUGAAAUCGUUUGUUUUCAGGAUUUUAAGAAGUGAGCUUUUUUGGGUUUGGUAUGUUGGUUAAUUUUCAGACAUGUUAGACUGAAACUUUGCUCCUUUCUGUUUCAGUAAAUUGAUUAUCAUUUGAGCUACAGAAGUCCAAUUGAGGCGAUUCAAGAUGUGUUGAGAAGCAAAUUGAAAGAGCUACAAGUUGAAAAAGGCAACUUAGGCUAACUCCACUUGGAUCAAACACAAGAUCAUGUCAAAAUUCAUGUGCUGUUUUUGGUCGAGGUUUUGAGUUCAUUAGGGAAUAUGAAUUCAUGUAAAAUUUACCCCCCACCCAUGCACGCAUCACACUAUCCCUCUCUCCUCCCUUUCGUGUCCAACCAUACUGUUGAAGUAUGUGUUCUGUAUUGGUGUCAGCCUUGUUACCUGUUAGCUAUGAUUGAAAUCUAUCUUUAUACCGGUGGAGUUGUGCCUGAGGCUCUCCAUUAAUGUUUUACAUAUUUCAGAAAUACCGUUGGCCCAUUGGAUUCCUUUCCUACUUCUCUUUGUUCCAAAAUAAUUGAAAUUUGGCUUCAUGGUUUUCUAUAUAUGCAUGAUCAUCAAAGUCGUUCUAUGUGCAUGCUAUAUUUCUAUUCUGUAGCUCUUAUGGACAUUAAAAUACUCAUCAGAAGAUUGUAUAAACUUUCUAAUAACUGGCACAUACAUGGGAGAGAAAAUGAUCCAAAUAUAGUUUAGUUGAAGUUUACUUUAUUCGUUACCAUAGGAAGAAA
rnacentral:lncRNA from 1 species